rnacentral:rRNA from 1 species
GAGUCAUCGAGUCUUUGAACGCAAAUUGCGCUCGAGGCCUCCGGGUCGAGAGCAUGUCUGCCUCAGCGUCGCUCAUACCCAAUCGGAUCCACCUCUUUUGAUAUUCAAAGGUAGGAGGACCGGAAAUGGCCGUCCGGUUUCAAGAUCGGUCGGCUGAAAGGAAUGUUCCGCUCGCAAUCCCCCUUUGAUGGGAAAGAGCCAGCCGGUAAGCAUGACCCUCUCCCUGCGGAGAAGGCCUAGCCUGCCGUUGAGCUCUGGUUGUGGGUUUCUGAGGAGCUUGACAGGAACCAACAUUUGAACAUCGACCUGAGAUCAGGCAAGGACACCCGCUGAACUUAA